GACAGAGGUGCCAAGCGUUAGGCGGAAUCACUGGGCUUAAAGCGUGUGUAGGCGGAUCGUUAAGUACCUUGUGAAAUCCCACGGCUCAACCGUGGAACUGCUGGGUAUACUGGCGGUCUUGAGCCACCUAGGGGCAACUGGAACAAGCGGUGGAGCGGUGAAAUGCGUAGAUAUCGCUUGGAACGCCAACGGUGAAAACAGGUUGCUGGGGGGUGUGCUGACGCUGGAGACACGAAAGCCAGGGGAGCGAACGGGG
rnacentral:rRNA from 1 species